rnacentral:rRNA from 1 species
GGACGAAUCUUCCGCAAUGGGCGAAAGCCUGACGGAGCGAUGCCGAGUGUGGGAUGAAGCGGCUUUGCCGUGUAAACCACUGUCAGGAGAUAGAAACAAUGAUCAUCUUCAGAGGAAGGGGCGACUAACUCUGUGCCAGCAGUCGCGGUAAGACAGAGGCCCCGAGCGUUAAUCGGAAUCACUGGGCUUAAAGGGUGCGUAGGCGGUCUCGCAAGUGUCGUGUGAAAGCCCACUGCUCAACGGUGGAACA